UGCUCCCCACCUCUCGGACCUAGGCACACCCCACCCCUCGAGGUCCCCAGCCUAGGGGUCAGCUCUGACAGCCUCUGGGAGUGACCCAGAUCCGCCUCUUCUCACCAGCUGCCUCCUCCUCCUCCUCCUCCUUCAAAUCCCGGCGCCGCCUGGCUGUGUUCUCCGUGCUGCCUUUCCUGUUCCUGGAGCAGUCUCCAGCAUCCACAGGAGCACUGGGAUCCAGGAGUUUUUCUUUAAAAAGUACACAUGGAAGAGCUCAGAGUCAGACGGGCUCCUCAUUCACCUCCAGAACAACCUUCCCAAAACACCAGCUCCUCAGGAAGUCUUCCCGAAAGAAGGAACACCUUGACUGCCUCCAAGCCCUCCAAGAAGCCCUCACUACUGGACACCGACACAUCCCUGGCUUUUGUUUCCACCUAGACUGUGAGUUCUGGAGAGACGACCAUGUACAGCUGCACAGGCUGUGCACUGCAGAACCCAAGGUUGCCACUCAUACCACAGUCAUGCAAUUCCGGGGCCUGGGACCCAGUCUGAGCUGUCUCUGCUGCCCAGCCCUUUAACCGCCCCCACCCUGGUGGGUGGUCUCUUGACCUCCAGGUUUAUCAACUGAGUGGCUGGCAAACUAAACAAUAACUGAACCUACCAUCAGCUGACAGCUCCAGGGACCCUACUACACCUGGGCUGGGCGCAGCCCAUCUCCUGCCUUCGCCCAGCUCUAACUCAUCCCUGUCCUCAAAGUCUAUUCCCAUACUGCCCAGAGGAAUGCCUUCUUUCUAUUCCACUCCACCCACUGCAGCAGCCAAGUCCAGGAUGCUGCCAGCACUGGCUGUUACACCUUACAGAGAAACAACAUGAGGGAGAGAGAGGGACAUGUCCUCCUUGCACAAGGAGCCCAACCUAUUCCUCUGUGGCCUGGGUGGCCUGCAGCGCACUUCCUGCCCUGUGCAGCAGCCCGUGGUCUCAGACUCCAAGGUUUGAGAAGCCACGAUGCAGCACUUCCACUGCUGGACACCCUGUGCCUGAUAAACAGAAGUGCACUCGCCCAGUGAAAGAAAGUGCAGAGCUGCGCUGGUCGUCACAGCACAAGGAAACUGCCAGAAGUCUCCUCAUCAGCACUGUUCCCACAAAGGAAAACUCCAGCAAAGACAACGCGUGCCACUGCCUCAGGCAACACACGAUGAAAUUCCUAGACUGCAUGUUGAGGGAGAGGAGCCUGGCAUAAUAGAGCACCUACUGUAUGCCUUGUUUAAGACAAGUUCAAGAACGGGCAAAGCCAGUCCAGGGCGGGGUGGGGGAGAGGGGGGGCAUUAAGUCUCGCCUGGGAUGUGUCUGGAAGGGAGCCCGUGGCUACAGGGGGCUUAUGCGAGGCUGGUCCCGUCUGCCUCUGGAUCUGGACGUGGCUUCUGUGGGAGGCUCGCUUUGUGAACAUUCGCUGAGCGGCACACUGAUGACGCGUGCAGUUUUCUUUGCAACAAUGCAGCAAUAAAGC